rnacentral:rRNA from 1 species
UGCAGUCGAACGAUGAAGCCCUUCGGGGUGGAUUAGUGGCGAACGGGUGAGUAACACGUGGGCAAUCUGCCCUGCACUCUGGGACAAGCCCUGGAAACGGGGUCUAAUACCGGAUGACACUUUCUCUCGCAUGGGAGAAGGUUGAAAGCUCCGGCGGUGCAGGAUGAGCCCGCGGCCUAUCAGCUAGUUGGUGAGGUAGAAGCUCACCAAGGCGACGACGGGUAGCCGGCCUGAGAGGGCGACCGGCCACACUGGGACUGAGACACGGCCCAGACUCCUACGGGAGGCAGCAGUGGGGAAUAUUGCACAAUGGGCGAAAGCCUGAUGCAGCGACGCCGCGUGAGGGAUGACGGCCUUCGGGUUGUAAACCUCUUUCAGCAGGGAAGAAGCGCAAGUGACGGUACCUGCAGAAGAAGCGCCGGCUAACUACGUGCCAGCAGCCGCGGUAAUACGUAGGGCGCAAGCGUUGUCCGGAAUUAUUGGGCGUAAAGAGCUCGUAGGCGGCUUGUCACGUCGGUUGUGAAAGCCCGGGGCUUAACCCCGGGUCUGCAGUCGAUACGGGCAGGCUAGAGUGUGGUAGGGGAGAUCGGAAUUCCUGGUGUAGCGGUGAAAUGCGCAGAUAUCAGGAGGAACACCGGUGGCGAAGGCGGAUCUCUGGGCCAUUACUGACGCUGAGGAGCGAAAGCGUGGGGAGCGAACAGGAUUAGAUACCCUGGUAGUCCACGCCGUAAACGGUGGGAACUAGGUGUUGGCGACAUUCCACGUCGUCGGUGCCGCAGCUAACGCAUUAAGUUCCCCGCCUGGGGAGUACGGCCGCAAGGCUAAAACUCAAAGGAAUUGAC